UCAUGAUGCUUUUAGUAAAUAUUUUUACUAUUAAAACAAUUGAUACUCUAAUAAAUGAUGGUAAUAUAUUGGUACCAAACUUAUAGACUAUUGUGGAGAUUAAAUAAGGUAGUUAAUGUAUGUAAUUGAUGUUCUAAAUUUAUAUAAAUCAUUUAGAAUAGUGCCUGGAACUCAAUACAUGAUAGACAUUGGUAGUAGAGGUGGUGAUCUCCAUUUCCUAUACCUAUUUGUUUGUCUGUUUGUUUUAAAAAACCAUA
rnacentral:lncRNA from 1 species